ACUGAGCAGCAACAGACAGAAAACAGAAAAAAAAAAACAACAAAAAAACGCACGCUCUUCGACAUUAAACAACAACAACAAAAAGCUGCGUGCAUCACCAGAACCGGAAAUGUAAAUCGCGCAGGAUAAAAGCAAAGCAAACAAAAUCAAACGGAUGUGGGUGAACCUACCGAUCUGCUGGAAUCUCUCCGUUUGGAGCUGCGGCUCAACAUGACGCGCUGAUCCCAGAACAGCACAGGACCACAAACAUCACUAUACUUGUUUGAGAUGCUGAUUGAUGGACCAACACAGAGUGAUGUGUGAUUGUGAAGUGGAAGAUCUAUUCAACUGUGACAGGCAGAGCGUCACCAGAGGACGGCGUACAUUUUCCACAGUACCCUCCGCAGAUCCCUGUCACUCUGCUGCCAUCCUGUGGACACAGAAAUAAUGACAUGAGCUGACGCUUCAGUAAUUUUUCAAAACAAAUCAGUGAGCUGAAACUGAUUAAUUUAUUUCAAUCAUUUUAUUAAAAAGAGACAAAAAUAU